rfam:Gossypium hirsutum cultivar TM-1 chromosome 3, whole genome shotgun sequence
AAUUCGUGGUGUGGGAAUUUUUGAAUCAACAUUUUGAGACAUCCCCAUGCCUUAUAGAAAAUUUCUCCCUCUAUUUGUCUAAAGGCAAUAAUCUCUCGUCUCAGCU